AUCGCCCUCCCUCUUUCAGGUGCUCGGAUCAAUGUGUUGGUCCGGCUUAAACAGGAAGUCGGUGCCGCGCUUUAUUAACAUAAUGCCGCCAUGCCGACGCUGCCCCCGCAACGGUAGAUAAGUAAAAGAACUGCGUUAACACCACUGUGCAUUGCAUGGGAAGGUCGCAGUUCAGGCCGCAAAGCCACUUAUAAGCCCGGAGACUGGCCGGAAAGAUCAUUCGAGA
rnacentral:ncRNA from 2 species